AGAGUUUGAUCCUGGCUCAGGAUGAACGCUAGCGGCAGGCCUAAUACAUGCAAGUCGAACGGUCCGCAAGGACAGUGGCAAACGGGUGCGUAACGCGUAAGCAACCUGCCCCAUACCGGGGGAUAGCCUGGCGAAAGCCGGGGUAAACCCGCAUAGUCCCUUUCUGUUUCAUGACAGGCCGGGUAAACAUUUAUGGGUAUGGGAGGGGCUUGCGUCUGAUUAGUUAGUUGGCGGGGUAACGGCCCACCAAGACAGUGAUCAGUAGGGGUUCUGAGAGGAUUGGCCCCCACAUGGGUACUGAGAUACGGACCCAACUCCUACGGGAGGCAGCAGUAGGGAAUAUUGGGCAAUGGAGGCAACUCUGACCCAGCCAUGCCGCGUGCAGGAUGAAGGCGCUCAGCGUCGUAAACUGCUUUUAUCUGGGAAGAACUGUGGUCCUGCGGGAUUAUUUGACGGUACCAGAGGAAUAAGCACCGGCUAACUCCGUG
rnacentral:rRNA from 1 species